rnacentral:rRNA from 1 species
ACUCCUACGGGAGGCAGCAGUGGGGAAUAUUGCACAAUGGGGGAAACCCUGAUGCAGCGACGCCGCGUGGAGGAAGAAGGUCUUCGGAUUGUAAACUCCUGUUGUUGAGGAAGAUAAUGACGGUACUCAACAAGGAAGUGACGGCUAACUACGUGCCAGCAGCCGCGGUAAAACGUAGGUCACAAGCGUUGUCCGGAAUUACUGGGUGUAAAGGGAGCGCAGGCGGGAGAACAAGUUGGAAGUGAAAUCCAUGGGCUCAACCCAUGAACUGCUUUCAAAACUGUUUUUCUUGAGUAGUGCAGAGGUAGGCGGAAUUCCCGGUGUAGCGGUGGAAUGCGUAGAUAUCGGGAGGAACACCAGUGGCGAAGGCGGCCUACUGGGCACCAACUGACGCUGAGGCUCGAAAGUGUGGGUAGCAAACAGGAUUAGAUACCCUGGUAGUCCACACCGUAAACGAUGAUUACUAGGUGUUGGAGGAUUGACCCCUUCAGUGCCGCAGUUAACACAAUAAGUAAUCCACCUGGGGAGUACGACCGCAAGGUUGAAACUCAAAGGAAUUGACGGGGGCCCGCACAAGCAGUGGAGUAUGUGGUUUAAUUCGACGCAACGCGAAGAACCUUACCAAGUCUUGACAUCCCUUGACAGGCAUAGAAAUAUGUAUUCUCUUCGGAGCAAGGAGACAGGUGGUGCAUGGUUGUCGUCAGCUCGUGUCGUGAGAUGUUGGGUUAAGUCCCGCAACGAGCGCAACCCUUAU